GACCGAAGAGGAAGAAGAAUUGAUAUCAAAUUGUGAUAUUAACAUAAACUGAAAGUUUAUUUUUCAAAGUAGAAAUCAUUAUGUGAAAGGAAAAAUGGAAUGGACAACAAAAACUUAAUGCUGCCUUUGGUGAUUUAUUUCUCAGCUUUUCAGUUUCCUGUGUAGCUUCAAGAUUAGAUGUUUGGUGAGAUGACAAGUUUUUGAUAGUGGUGGUUUAAGUAUUGCUGCCUUCUAUGAUUACUUUGUUUUUUAUUCACUCUGUUUACACUUUAUUGCUUUUACCAUUAGAUUAACAAUUAUUAAUUCAUUCAGUGGUGGUUAUCUAGAAAGUAUGAUUUACUUUGUUAAAAACCAAUUAACCAUAGAAUUUCCCUCAGGUAUCUUUUAAAUACAAGUGAGUGCUACCAAAUGGUGAAGCGGUAAUUCCAUGUUUGAAAUGUGCAACUCUUUCUGGAAAGGAACCAUUCACUGAAGUAAUGGUUAUCAACAACUUGUAAGAAGUGGCUCUCGACCUCUCAACAGAACUUGGGAAGAAAAUUUUUUUCUUAACUUUGUUGAGAAUAGUGAAAAAUCAGUAAUGGGCGAACUAGUUCAUGGUGUAGAGAACUUCUUAUUUUGCUUGCACUGGAGAGUGUUUCAAAUAUAUGAGAAAGUUGUUAUAAGCAUGGAGUGAUGGCAGUCAAUGACAUUGGAUUAACCAUAGAGGUGUAUCAGGAGUAAGUGGCAGUAUUGGCCACUGUAUUUACAAGGUAAUAGAAGCAUAAAUAUUUGUG
rnacentral:misc_RNA from 1 species